UUGGUUGAUAAUGAUGGUGAAUCAGUACUAGCAUAACCUCCGGCAAUGACUCUGCUUUUGGUCACAAAUUUGCGCAGAUCCAUCAUCGUAUCAAGAAAAUGUUACUGCUGGCACACAUUCUCAUCCACUGUUAGUAUUAAAUGCUAACGAUGGCAAAGAAAUUUCCAGAUUAACACUAAAGGAUAGAAUCGAGGGUUGUGUGCCGUUGAUAAUGAAUCAAUUGACAGUGAUUGGUUUUUAUGAUAGUAGUGCCCUCGAUUUUCAACAAAGUGAACUGUUGUUGCAAUUUUCUUUUUAAGUUUAAUCCGAGGCAAAACGACUAACCAUUAAACUACAGCAAAGGCCAAAAUACCAAAAGUCCAUUUUUUUGUUUUGUAAACAAACUUCAAAUCCCAGCCAUAAUACGCACACCUAUCAGUUGAAGUAUGACUCGAAGCAGAAGGUUUUCUAUUUACUAAAUAUAUGUGUAUAACGUUUUACUGUAACAAAAAUAUUUAAAAAAAAAUGAAUUGGAGAUUUUUUUAAGGAGAAAAUAGUUUAGGGGUCUUCGCACCCAACUCCGGGGCCUCCGAUUGAAAUUCAUGAGCCGAUGGAAACCGUAGGUAGAGCAGGGUAAGGAGUGGCCAAGAUCGUAACAUCUGCACGUUCAUUAAGUAGGGUUCGUCCGUCCUUUUUUUCUUAUAAUGGUAAAGCCCAUGUAUUUCUUUUAGUUGUAAUCGUCUGUGAAGUGUCCGUGAAACAAAAAUUUGGAACACAGUUUUUAUAGAUUUCAUUUGAUUAUAGGUGUAAGCGUAUAUGUACUCACCUCGCCCGUCAUGAUCUAACAAAACAAACUUAUUUUAAAUUCAUUACAAUAAUUUCAUAAAAGAAAGUGUACAAAAAUGUACAAAAAUUUGAAUAAAUAACUGAAAACGAUGUUAAAUAUUCUAUUCACAAAGAUAUACUAAAAAAAUUUUUUUAUGCUAUGCAAACAGUUAAUAGUAAUUAAAGGAUUUACUAAUCCAAUUUGUGUAAUAGAAUAACGCCUGACGUGAUCGUCGGAAGCGCUUUCGUCGAUUACAAAUUGCAAAAAUUAUAUACCAAGUAAUUAAUAAAUUCACAAUUUAACUUAUAACAUUUACACGUGCGAUGAACUUGUUUUUAUUUACAUGUAUUACCAUGGAACUGGUGAUAUAAAAGUUGCCAAAAAAACGCAUAAUGCUUGAGAAGCACAGACAUUUCUUUUUGCUGCUGCGUAACAACUGAUAAACGUAAGAAGCAGCAUGUAUUCAAGGGCGUGUGUAAAGCAAGAACGUUGUGAAUUCCGGUGGUCUUAGCUCAUUAUCACACUGGUAGGUACCCACUGCGACCAUCACACAAGGCGGUUGAGGCGGCUAUCAUGUGGAUUCCAUGAGAGUCUGCUGCGUGGCUCAGCAGUUGAGAACGUAGUGUAACCCGGCGGUUUUUGGCUGUUGAAGAACUAUUAACAGAACAAGAUAGUGCGUUAGAAGAUGGGUGGUGGUUGCAGUGGAAUCGACUUGGGCGAUUACCAUGCGUAUUUCAUGGAAAUGUACUUUAACUGACCGGUGCUUGUGGUUCAACAACUGGGAAGAAUUAAUGAAGUGAUUAAAUUCCGGGCCCAUUUUGGCACGAUAUGGUGUAAAUAAAUACUCAAUACUAGAGCAAGACAGGCAAAAUAGAGUUGUUGAAGAGAGCAAAAAUAUAUGCCGGAGCAUAUACAAUGCUUUUAGAAAACAAUAACAAACCCUUUUAAUCAGAUAUAAGCAAGAGAAAUGAAGAAAUAAGAAAACAAUGUAAAAGCGCAGCGAAAGAUAAACGAUGUUCUAAAUUACAAUUCCAAACAAAAUUUAUUGAUAGAUUUGAAAAUCAAUGGUAGGCAAAUUAUUUGCAAAAGACUUAACACCACGCUGAAGCACCAGCAGGAUAUGGCCGCGAAUGUAAAACAAGCUGAAUUUGGUAAAAUAAACAAGAUGAAGAAUACAUACGAGAGCAUCCGGUGAUGACUACGAAAAUAAACAGAAUGAUAUCAAGAUUUCAAAACAGAGUGACGGAUAUACAUCAGAGAUAUAAUUGUUAGGUAUAAUAAGCUUGCGUUAUAUAUUUUGUACUGUUUUUCUGAAAUUCUUUUAUCAUACUGUACUGUUACAUAGG